UACGUAGGGGGCAAGCGUUAUCCGGAAUCAUUGGGCGUAAAGCGUGCGCAGGCGGUUUUGUAAGUUUGUCGUGAAAUCCCCGGGCUCAACCUGGGAAUGGCGAUGAAGACUGCAAGGCUAGAAUCUGGCAGAGGGGGGUAGAAUUCCACGUGUAGCAGUGAAAUGCGUAGAGAUGUGGAGGAACACCGAUGGCGAAGGCAGCCCCCUGGGUCAAGAUUGACGCUCAUGCACGAAAGCGUGGGGAGCAAAGAGG
rnacentral:rRNA from 1 species